GGCGGCGUGCCUAAUACAUGCAAGUCGAACGCACUGACGUCGACAGAAGGUGCUUGCACUGGAAGUUGAUUGACGUGAGUGGCGGACGGGUGAGUAACACGUGGGUAACCUGCCCUUAAGCGGGGGAUAACAUUUGGAAACAGAUGCUAAUACCGCAUAAAAGUUGAGAUCACAUGGUCUUAAUUUGAAAGACGGCCUUUGGCUGUCACUUAAGGAUGGACCCGCGGCGUAUUAGCUAGUUGGUGAGAUAAUAGCCCACCAAGGCGAUGAUACGUAGCCGACCUGAGAGGGUAAUCGGCCACAUUGGGACUGAGACACGGCCCAAACUCCUACGGGAGGCAGCAGUAGGGAAUCUUCCACAAUGGACGAAAGUCUGAUGGAGCAACGCCGCGUGAGUGAAGAAGGUUUUCGGAUCGUAAAACUCUGUUGUUGGAGAAGAACAGGGACUAGAGUAACUGUUAGUCCUUUGACGGUAUCCAACCAGAAAGCCACGGCUAACUACGUGCCAGCAGCCGCGGUAAUACGUAGGUGGCAAGCGUUGUCCGGAUUUAUUGGGCGUAAAGCGAGCGCAGGCGGUUUCUUAAGUCUGAUGUGAAAGCCUUCGGCUUAACCGAAGAAGUGCAUCAGAUACUGGGAAACUUGAGUGCAGAAGAGGAAAGUGGAACUCCAUGUGUAGCCGUGAAAUGCGUAGAUAUAUGGAAGAACACCAGUGGCGAAGGCGGCUUUCUGGUCUGUAACUGACGCUGAGGCUCGAAAGUAUGGGGAGCGAACAGGAUUAGAUACCCUGGUAGUCCAUACCGUAAACGAUGAAUGCUAAGUGUUGGAGGGUUUCCGCCCUUCAGUGCUGCAGCUAACGCAUUAAGCAUUCCGCCUGGGGAGUACGACCGCAAGGUUGAAACUCAAAGGAAUUGACGGGGGCCCGCACAAGCGGUGGAGCAUGUGGUUUAAUUCGAAGCUACGCGAAGAACCUUACCAGGUCUUGACAUCUAGCGCCAAUCCUAGAGAUAGGACGUUCCCUUCGGGGACGCUAAGACAGGUGGUGCAUGGUUGUCGUCAGCUCGUGUCGUGAGAUGUUGGGUUAAGUCCCGCAACGAGCGCAACCCUUAUGAUUAGUUGCCAGCAUUUAGUUGGGCACUCUAAUCAGACUGCCGGUGACAAACCGGAGGAAGGUGGGG
rnacentral:rRNA from 1 species